rnacentral:lncRNA from 1 species
ACCAAUGGGAUUAACGUUGCCCCAAUAGGUCUCGACUUGAGGGUGUUCAAGGGGAUCACCAUAGACCUCGCUUGUACUCGUUAACAAGAAUCGUGCAUUGAUCCUCUUUGCGAGUCCUAACAUGUUCAACGUUCCCACCACAUUUGUCUUGUGAUAUCUCAAUCUCCGUCAAGGAUCGAUUAAUUUCUAACAAACACAAUUAAAGUUCUAGAUCGAUGUCAUAAAUUUCAUAUAUACAGAUUAGCCUGGAAGAAAAUAAAGUUAUAAAGGAUAUGAUUGUUUUGACGGGGUUGUAUUUGUAAUGUACGGGGGAAGCGGGGCAAGCAAGAUGAUAGAUUUGAUCGACUUCUAACAAGAUGGGUUCAACCACAUCAUGACGGAUGAGCUCGAACCUAGGGUUCCUA